CACAAGCAAGGUGAUGAGAGAAGCCACGCUGCCUUCUUCUCCGCACCGAGAUUCCAAAUCACGUGUUCGUCUCUCUGUCUCUCCCUCUCUCCACGUUUGUUCAAGGUAGCUAAAAGACAUCAUGGAGUAUCACUAUGCCAUCGAAAGACUAGAACAGCGACAACAUGGACAGCAAGAUGACUGCUUUGAGAUGCUUCUGGCUUGUUUCCCGCGUGUUCUUCAUUCUGUGAAUCGUCUUACUGGUUGUGUUCUUGUGAUGGGACAAAAGAAUGACCUCUGUGUCACACAAAGAUCAUCAGAUUAGCGAAGAGAUUCGGUAGCACUUGGACUGACUUUAUUGCACAAAAGGCACUGUAAAAGAAAAAGAAAGAAACCUUGAUGGCUUUCGGCCAAAGCCAUGAUCACUGUUCACCUUACAGCCAAUGGCUCCACCUUUUCCUCUCAUUUUGCAGGUUUCUUGCAGAAGACAUGGAGGGAGGCAUCGUAUUCCCAUGAGAUGCAACGACAAUCAAUGUUGACAUGCCUCCUUGCUCAUCUCACAGCCCACUCUCCCCC
rnacentral:lncRNA from 1 species